rnacentral:tRNA from 1 species
GAGAGUAUAGUUCAGCAGUAGAGCGUGUGCUUAGCAUGCAUGAAGUCCUGGAUUCAAUCCCCAGUAUCUCCA